rnacentral:lncRNA from 1 species
GUUGAGCAUAGGUGGCGGUUGAUUUAUUAACCCACUACCAUGAUAGGGGCUGAGGGAAGAAUCAACAGUUCAUGGCAUUUUAUUUCUGUAUAUUUUGUUCUCUUCAAUUGCUCUUUGAAGCACCAUGAUAGGGGCUGAGGGAAGAAGCAAUGAUUAUGUCGUUUUUCUAAGCUUUAGCUACUGCUGUCAAGCUGAUUAGAGGCAAUUUUACAAGGUGCAAAUUCCGAGAAGUUGAAAUUGUGUGAAGCUUUGAGCGAAACAAUUUCUAAACCAAGACAUUUAACAAAAGAACUUGUGGUAAAAAUGUUUGACGAACAGGAAAACAUUAAAUUUGAAAGAUCAAACAAUUGGUAUAGUGGUUGUUAUCUUGAGUCAAAGGAGGUUUUGAUUGAAAGAUUUAAAUAUUUUAUGCGUAGGAAACAUGAGAAGUUUAAUGAUCUGGAAAAGCGAUAUGAUGAUUUACUUAAAGGUUUGAGAAUGCAUUACGUAACGAUAUCAGACGCCGAACAGAAAUCUAAGUUUGCAGAUGCAUUACCUUUAGAGUGGGAUGAAUUUGUGUGUAAAGUGAAAAAGGAUUCUAGGUUCUCAAAAUUUAAUCCAGGUGAUUUCAUCAGAGAGCUUAGAACACAAAAUUGUGAAAUUGAGAAGAAAAAGAAAGAGUUGAUAGUGGAAUUAGAAAGAAACUCAGAAAAUAUAAGUUUGGAUGUGAUCUUUGAAAUAAUGAAAAGAAUUAGAAAUGGUCUUGAUAUAAGAAGUAGGAUGAAAUAUGAUUACAAGAGAGGUUGUUUUCUAAAUGAAGAUUUGAAUCCUGCUGAUAUGGUUAAAAUUUUUCUUGCAGGAAUGUCAAAGAUUGAAGAAUCCAAGAAAGAUGAAACUUCAAAAUUUGAAGUUGUAUGUUCAAAAUGUGAAAAAUUCGCAGCAGACAAUGUUAAAUUCUUGAAGGAUGUGGAGAGUUUAACAUUGGAAAUCAAAAGCUUGAAAGAUGAGAAAGAAUCUGAUAAUAAACAGAUUCUUGAAAUGCGAGAAAUGUGUGAGAAAUUGAAGUCUGAAAAUGUCAAACUGUUGAGUGGUUUGAACAGUUUGACAUCAGAAAACAAAAUUUUGAAAAAAAAAAUUGAAAGUU